AAAAAGACAAACCCUGGGUUUCUAUGUCCAACUUUGACUGUCCGUCUUAUAUAAAUUUUUUUUAUAAUUCUAUUUUUGUUGUUGUUAGAUGAUAAAACAUGAUUAAUACUUUGUGCGUGACUUGUCUUUUUAAUUUUUUUCAAAUAAGACGGACGGUCAAAUGUUGGGCACGGAAAGUUUAUC
rfam:Oryza rufipogon genomic scaffold, chr08